UUUUAACUUUAAUUAGCUCCCAUCUUUGUUUUGCUCCACCAUAUGGCCAUGUCCUGUAGUCAAAUUUAGUUAAUUAAGCUAAUUAAGCUAAUCAUUUUAAUUACUCAAGACAAUGUGAUUGGAUAGAGGAUGACUACAAGUUUAUGGCCUAGUACUUGUUAUUCAUUAAGUUGAAGGGACAGAGUUAUUUCUGAUUGCAGCUGGCAAGCAUUGCCGGGCUGUGACAAGCACUGAGAUAUUAAGUCUGAAGUAUAAUUGCAUUCCUUGAUAAAAACAACAUGUCACAUGCACAACUCUUUUAAAGAGGAAAAUAAUUUAGAGCUAUGUCUAUUAGCAUUCCGUGUCGGUUGAAGGCCCUCUCGCUGAUAUCUGAUUAAAUGCUCCAGAAUCGCUCAAGUGAGAGAAGCCCCUUUCUCUCCCCCCGACCCACUGACCACACUCUCAAACCUGCGAUCUGUUGCUCAGGAGAGCCAGCAAAUUCCUCAACAGAAGCUGCCAACAAACAGACGUCUGGAGUCCCUCGGGGGGUCCGAAUGUCCACCCUCACUCCCAACCCCACCCCCCAUCAGGACCUGAAUCUGACUGGCUAAUUGAGGAUCUUUGUGCAAAAUCGGAGGGCAGUGGGCCUGUUUGCUUCUGGGAAGAGCCAUUUGUCCAUCACGUCCAACAACUGCAUGUUGAGCUACACAUCAUGUCCGCUUGGUAACCACCCAACAGAUGCAGAGGCCAAGUGCGGUAAUGAAAUAAUACAGCCAGACAUCAUGUCCAUGGUUUCCAUUAUUGUUAAAGAUUUUGGUUGCCCAAUAGCACCACUUAGGUAAUUUGUUUCUGUGUAUAAUCCUGUUGGCUGCUAUUAAAUUAAACUAACUGGUCAUUUGGGUUUGGGGGCCUAUAAAUAAAUCCUGUUGCCAUGAGGCAUGGGCAGUAUGUGUUGUGUCUGAUUUGAUAAAGGGGGAAGCACUUUGUAAUUUCAUCUAAAAAAAUGUGACCUCGCUGGGUCGGCCACCAUCAGAUGAUCCCAAAUAAUGGCUAAAGUAGUUAAUUACUGUCACUAAUGUAGUCACAGUCUCACUCAUAUCCAUAACCGGUGAUUCAUUUUUUUUCUUUCUUUUUUUUCCCUCUAAUACUAGAAAAGCUAAAUCAUAAUCAGGCACAUUUUCAGAUUUAAUCACAAGUUUAGGAUUAUUAUUCCUAUAUGAGAUGUUUCUUAAUCAUUGAAAUUGCCUCUCAUCCAUAUAAAUGUUGGCCGUGUAGUUUGGUGUGAGUUGGGCCAGAUGAGAUUGAGUUGUGCUCUGGCAUGAAGCCAGAUGGAAGAAGAAGGCCCAGCAGCACUGCUGCCUCUCUCUCUCUCUCUCUCUCUCGCUCUCAGAACUCUUUGUGCUGGAAGUAUUAGGCAAUUUAUGCUAAAUUAACACCUGGGGGACUAUGUACAUGUGCACACCAAGGUAUGCUUGAUGGUAUGCUUGAACGCUUAUCCUGGGUUUUAUCAAAGUCACAUUUUAGCAGUUACACCAUCAAGGUGCAACUGAAUACUGCAUUAAUUGAAUAGUACUAUUUUGCAUAUAAAUAUCUAUGUGGGUGUUUAUGCAAUAAAUUAAAUAGGUGUUUCUCAACUCCAGGCACUUUAUGUCCCUGGGGUUUAUAUUUAUUGAAGGUUUUUUUUUGUUUGUUUUGUUUUUUUUAAAUAAUGCAAAAUUCUAAAUAUGUUAAGUGUGUGCAUUUAUAGGUUACAUGAAAUGUUAGAUUUUUAAUUAGCCUUCAUUUAGGCUUAGCCUUAAGGUGCUGUCACGUUAACAAAAUUUAAUCAAAAUUCAGCAAAAAAAAAAAAAAAAGUCCAUUGUAUAUUGUCAAGAGUCCAGUGAUGUCUGAAGCACAGUUUGCAAAUGUCACUUUCAAACCAAGCAGCUUUCUGUUGGUAAAUACAAAGAAUUUGCAAGAAUCAGCUCGGGGGAACUAUUGACCAGAACAACAAUAAAUAAUAAUAAAUAAAUAAUAAAUGUGAUUUUAUUCGAAAGACAUCAUUUCUACCACAGAAUAUUAUCAAACACAAUACAUAAAUGUGACGGAAAUGAUACUGUGGUAGAAAUUAUUUUCAUAUGUUUGUGGUCAAAUUAAUUAAUAUGAAUGAAUAAGUGAGAAUGUGAAAAGUGUUUUUAGAAAGUUUAGUUUCUAAUGUCUACAGGGCUAAAAGCAUAAAUAACACCCACAUGAUCCAUUAUACUUUGUCUUCACUGCAAAACAAAUCUUUCUGACCCCAAAUAUACACCAGAGCUCAAAAUAAGUUUUAUAAGUGAUAAAUAAAUGCAUUAAUGUUCAUGUCAAAUACAGUUCAAAAAGAGACAGAUAAUAAUAUAAUGUCUGAAAUUUGCUAAUUAUUACUUUUUAGGUCGACCCUGUCGAUCCCAUGCCCAGCAGGCCCCAGCUAGACAGGGCUUAAUAGAUUAACUAACAGAAGGUUGCCGAUCAGGGCCCAGCCAGUUGACACCAGGAGUAGCAUCUGCUCAAAGGCCAUCUCCCUCCACCCAGGGCCAGCGCCGCCUCACAAACCCCGGCAUGGAAGCUCCAUCCUGGGCCUCUUGCUAAUUCUGCCUCCCCCUCCUCUCCUCCCACCACCGGCGGCAUCGCCAGCCCCUCUAUGACAUAGUGGCUAAUUAGAGGCAUGCAUAUAUUUAUGACUGCGUUCAUUACAAGAGAGAGGCUGCAGUCUGCCUUUGUGCACCUAAACAAACCUGCUUCCCAGCUUCCAGCUCACGCUCCACCGUUCUGACUCCUCUGUGAAACAGUUACAGCAGUUAACCAGAGAGCCAGCUUGCAAACUCUCACAGAAGAAAAUAAAUAUAUAAGAGCGUGAGCUCUAAGGGGAUAAGCCACAGGCAAAAGAGAAGCCUCUUCGGGGUCCAUUUGAGGCUGCUUGAACUACAUGUUUAAUUAUACGUAAAGGUCAGGAGGAGUGAAAGGGAAGAAAUGCCAGACAGUGGGGCUGUGGUUAAGGCUCUGUUUUCUGCCUAAUGACGGUCUCUUCUUUUAGUGCACACUCAGCUAACAUCCAUCACCCACAGCUGCAUCCCACAGAAUUAAAAGCACUUGGUAACUCAGACAGACAAUCAACCUGAGAUAGCUCCUUGAGACUAUGCUAGUGCAUUUAAGGAAGUUCAUAAUAGGGCCUUCCACACUCCUUUAGUUCCAGAAUUAAAUGUACAGUACUAAAGUACUGCGAUGAUUCUGCGGGAACUAUUUCCCAGUACCAUUUAAGGGUUCCAUUCGCACCGACAGUGUGUACUAGGAAGUGACUUAAGCCGGUCGACAGCGACGUCAUUUGUGCGUGGUUUUAAACCACGAAAACAAACAAGAACAAUGUUAACAACAGGAAGAUGGAGGACGCUGUGAUCGGAGCUGCGUUUUUGUUGUGUCUCACAAUAACGGGCAUGGGUUGGGUUUCACAAUAUGGGCCAUGGAAUGUCGACGUAAACGUAAAGUGAUUGAAAGAACAGAAAGGAGGACUAAGAAUCUCCAAUGACAACUGACAGUGCUACAUUUGCUACAGGUGCCUGCACUUCAGCAUCCGUCCAUCUAUUGCUGCUUUCCAUACUUGCGAAAUAAGUUGACACAAUGUUUACAGUAUGUUUACACUGCAUUUUAAAUCAUGGCGGGUGAGGGCGUUUUCGUACGCGAUUGGCCAAUCAAUGUCUACUUACGUCACGGGUAGUACCAGUUGUGCUGGUUAGACCCUGAUCCGGAGUAGGAGCUAAUUUGGUUCUUGAAAAAGGCAGUCCAGUACUAAAAUCGGACCCAGUUCCAGCAGUGCGGAAACGCCAAAAAGUGGGUAGUUCCACAAUUAGUUCUGGUACUAUGAAAAGGUUCCCGCGGUGCGAAAGGCCCUAAUGGUAAUGUGUGAUUUUAUUUUAUCUUCAUUUUAUAUGCGGAGAUGCAUAUAAGCCAUUUUUCCCUGAGAAUUGUGAACAAUGUGUCCAAGAUGAUGUAUUUUUGUAGGCCGACGAAAGUUAGCAUGACCCUGGUUCCCUCGACAAAAACACAGACGUAAAAAGACAUACAUAGGCUUAACAUAAGCUUUAAAUCACGUAGGCUAUUGCAGAUUAAAUUACAG
rnacentral:lncRNA from 12 species